rnacentral:rRNA from 1 species
UACGUAGGGUGCAAGCGUUGUCCGGAAUUAUUGGGCGUAAAGAGCUCGUAGGCGGUUUGUCGCGUCUGCUGUGAAAACUCGGGGCUUAACCCCGGGCCUGCAGUGGGUACGGGCAGACUAGAGUGCGGUAGGGGAGACUGGAAUUCCUGGUGUAGCGGUGAAAUGCGUAGAUAUCAGGAGGAACACCGGUGGUGUAGACGGCUCUCUGGACCGUAACUGACGCUGAGGCACGAAAGCGUGGGUAGCAAACAGG